CCAGCCUCUAGGACUUCUGGCUAAGAUCAAGUGCAGUAUUUGUUCUUAUCACUUCAGUGUCUGAUAUGUUCUGUGUCUGAGAAUUGAAUGGAUUUUUGCAGCUACACAUUAACUUGGUAUUACAGCACUUGCAGGAAUAGCACAGUCGUG
rnacentral:snRNA from 1 species